GGGGAGUGUCUUUACUGUAUAGACACAAACAAUGAUACAUGCUUCAACAUGAAACACAAUUAGGGUGUGCAGUGAAAUAAAGGGGUGAGGGGGGAAGGGGACAUUUUUUUUUUUUUUUAAAUGAGAACAGAGGUGACUUCCAACAAAACUUCAAAACCAGCUUGGCUAACAAUGAACAUAGCCCCAUUCUUUUUAAUCAUCAACAAAAUCUAUCACACAUGUUCUUUCAAGUAAAGUUUAUUAGAAAGAAAUUGCUACUAGAGAACCACAUGUGAGCUCUGACUUGGCAAGGUCAGGCCAGGGCAAUAAACCCUUGAACUUUACAAAUAUGCAAAGCUGACAUAAAUAACAAAUUAAACCCAGCCAGGUGUAGAGCUGCAGCAAGCUGCUUGCCAGAAAGAUUCAAACUCUGGCCAGCGUGACCUCUGUUAGCUUGUGUGGAAAGCGGGGGCUUAUCUCCUCGGCUUGUUGUCCUUUAGGGUUCAUACCUGUGGGUUCGGGUCACCUUCUUCUCCUCAUUAGCUUAGAAAAAUUAUAUCGCUUCAUUAGAGGUGUUUGUUCAGCUUCUGAGUGUCCUCAGGCACUUGGAUGUGUUGCUGGAGUUCUCCACUGGGUCCACUCCAUCAUAAUGCAGCUUCAACACAGGCCUCCACAGAGCUUCAAGAGAAAAAUCCAGGAAGGAGAAAGUGAAGGGAGAUUGGGUUCCUAUUUGGAGCAUAUCCUGUGAUUCCUCUGUAUACGUGUAUGUGUGUUUGUGACACGUCCAGAAGUGCAGAUAAGAAGGGACAAGUUCAACUGGACUUUGAGCCCCUGGGAGUAAAGGAAUGGAAGGACCCAGUCCUUAAAUACCUUGAGAACACUGCUGGUGGCUGAGGCUGCUGGUUGGGAAAGGCAGGAUUAGAGGAAAACUCUGAUCCAUU
rnacentral:lncRNA from 1 species